AUACUUACCUGGCAGGGGAGACACCAUGAUCAGGCAGGUGGUUUUCCCAGGGCAAGGCUCAUCCCUUGCUCCCGUGCACUCCAGGUGUGCUGACCCCUGCGAUUUCCCCAAAUGCAGGAAACUCGAUAGAAUAAUUUGUGGGAGUGGGGGACUGUGUAAUUUAUUUCUUUU
ensembl:snRNA U1 U1 spliceosomal RNA